GCGGAUGUAGCCAAGUGGAUCAAGGCAGUGGAUUUGUGA
rnacentral:tRNA from 1 species